rnacentral:rRNA from 1 species
UGGGGAAUCUUCCACAAUGGGCGAAAGCCUGAUGGAGCAACGCCGCGUGUGUGAUGAAGGCUUUCGGGUCGUAAAGCACUGUUGUAUGGGAAGAACAGCUAGAAUAGGAAAUGAUUUUAGUUUGACGGUACCAUACCAGAAAGGGACGGCUAAAUACGUGCCCG